rfam:Schistosoma mansoni strain Puerto Rico chromosome 5, complete genome
ACUCUAGUCCGACUUUGUGAGGAGACAUGAUGGAUGUAGUAUAGGUGGGAGCUGGGUGCUUCGGUGUCCAACGCAAAUGAAAUACCACUGCUAUCAUUGUUUCUUUACUUAUUCAGUGAAACGAGAACGAAAUUGUAUUUUGGUUCAAAGCACAUUUCGGGGUGCGUGGUCUAUCGCUGCGUGCUUCGAUAUCUUGGUCAUGUCAGAUGAGUCGUGGUGCAAAUUGCGGUGUUUGAGUCUUGAUGUGAUGUGCGACCCGUUCUGAAGACCAUGUCAGGCGGGGAGU